UCGGGAAUUUUGGGCAAUGGGCGAAAGCCUGACCCAGCAACGCCGCGUGAAGGAUGAAGUAUUUCGGUAUGUAAACUUCGAAAGAAUAGGAAGAAUAAAUGACGGUACUAUUUAUAAGGUCCGGCUAACUACGUGCCAGCAGCCGCGGUAAUACGUAGGGACCAAGCGUUGUUCGGAUUUACUGGGCGUAAAGGGCGCGUAGGCGGCUUGACAAGUCACUUGUGAAAUCUCUGGGCUUAACCCAGAACGGCCAAGUGAAACUGUCAUGCUAGAGUGCAGAAGGGGCAAUCGGAAUUCUUGGUGUAGCGGUGAAAUGCGUAGAUAUCAAGAGGAACACCUGAGGUGAAGACGGGUUGCUGGGCUGACACUGACGCUGAGGCGCGAAAGCCAGGGGAGCAAACGGGAUUAGAUACCCUUGUAUUCCCUGAGCGGGCUGGCAAGGCGCAU
rnacentral:rRNA from 1 species